rnacentral:tRNA from 1 species
GCCUCGUUAGCUAAGUUGCUAGAGCGUUAUACUUUUAAUCUCAUGGUCGGGGGUUCGAGUCCCCUACGGGGCU